rnacentral:rRNA from 1 species
GGAUGAGUAAAGUGGCAAACGGGUGAGUAACACGUGGGUAAUUUACCCUUGGGUUUGGGACAACGGCUCGAAAGGGCCGCUAAUACCGGAUAAGACCACGACCUCUUCGGGGGUUGAGGCCAAAGAUGGGUUUCCAUCACCUGAGGAUGAGCCCGCGGCCCAUCAGGUUGUUGGCGGGGUAACGGCCCACCAAGCCUAUGACGGGUAGCUGGUCUGAGAGGAUGAUCAGCCACACUGGAACUGAGACACGGUCCAGACUCCUACGGGAGGCAGCAGUGGGGAAUAUUGCGCAAUGGGCGAAAGCCUGACGCAGCCACGCCGCGUGGGCGAUGAAGGCCUUCGGGUUGUAAAGCCCUGUCAGAGGGGAAAAAACCGCCGGGUAGGAAAUGCCCCGGCGCUGAUGGUACCCUCAAAGGAAGCACCGGCUAACUACGUGCCAGCAGCCGCGGUAAUACGUAGGGUGCGAGCGUUGUUCGGAAUCACUAGGCGUAAAGCGCGUGUAGGCGGAUAGCUAAGUCAGAUGUGAAAGCCCUCGGCUUAACCGGGGAAGUGCAUUUGAUACUGACUGUCUGGAGUGCGGAAGAGGGAGGGGGAAUUCCCGGUGUAGAGGUGAAAUUCGUAGAGAUCGGGAGGAAUACCGGUGGCGAAGGCGCCCUCCUGGGACGACACUGACGCUGAGACGCGAAAGCGUGGGGAGCAAACAGGAUUAGAUACCCUGGUAGUCCACGCGGUAAACGAUGGGCACUAGGUAUUGUGGGUAUCGACCCCCGCAGUGCCGUAGCUAACGCGAUAAGUGCCCCGCCUGGGGAGUACGGUCGCAAGAUUAAAACUCAGAGGAAUUGACGGGGGCCCGCACAAGCGGUGGAGUAUGUGGUUCAAUUCGAUGCAACGCGAAGAACCUUACCUGGGUUUGACAUCCCCGGAACCUCUUGGAAACUUGAGGGUGCCCGUAAGGGAGCCGGGAGACAGGUGCUGCAUGGCUGUCGUCAGCUCGUGUCGUGAGAUGUUGUGUUAAGUCCCGCAACGAGCGCAACCCUUGUCCUUAGUUGCCAUCAUUAAGUUGGGAACUCUAGGGAGACUGCCGGUGUUAAACCGGAGGAAGGUGGGGAUGACGUCAAGUCCUCAUGGCCCUUACACCCAGGGCUACACACGUACUACAAUGGCCGGUACAAAGGGUCGCCAGCUCGCAAGAGCAAGCUAAUCCCAAAAAACCUGCCUCAGUUCAGAUUGCAGUCUGCAACUCGACUGCAUGAAGGCGGAAUCGCUAGUAAUCGCGUAUCAGAACGACGCGGUGAAUACGUUCCCGGGCCUUGUACACACCGCCCGUCACACCACGAAAGUUAAUUGGACCUGAAGCCGGUAAGCUAACCGUAAGGAGGCAGCCGUCUAUGGUCUGGUCGAUGAUUGGGGUGAAGUCGAAACAAGGUA